rnacentral:lncRNA from 1 species
AAUGAUAGGUGUUAACAUUUGCAUGAUUAAAUAUUUUAUCCUUAGCACUUAUUAUAAUUUUUAUUAUUAUUUUAUAUAAAUUCAUUUUUUUCCAGCUGCGGAACAGAGCCCAGAUCUUCUUCAGCCCGCCUCACGCAUCCAAACCUCAUCCGUCCGUAUCCCCGCUUCCUCCCAGCCGUCUACGAAGCAAUGAUUCCGCGAUGCAGCCAUCUACGACUUCAUCCCACGCGUCCGCCCGAAGCAUCCGCGUCUCAGCUCCCAUGCUUAGGAUCCACGAUCAGAUCCCCCAGGCGAUCGCAGUUUCCGGAUUCGUGAUCCACCCAGCAUCCCGCAUCUUCCUCCUUCCUUAUUUCAAAGGCUUCUGGAGUUCAUAAUUCAUUCAUCCCAGCUAUCUGUGGCGCUUCUUCCAUGAGUCCAAAGCCCUGCUACCAGCUCCCGUCCGAGUCCAAUUCUCUCGCGAGCCCACGCAUCCCAGAUUCCGGAUCACGAUCGUCCCAGCAUCCCGUAUCUCAGCAUCCAACGCAUCCAAGCCCCAAUCUCGUCCGCAUUUCCAGCCUUCUCCCUGCGUCCCGACUUCAUCCAGUGAUCACAUCCAAGAUUCCAGCAUCCCCACAAUCUUCAGCCUUCCCCAGAUCCCGCAGGCGUCCGUGAUCCGCCUUCCAGAUCUCAGAUUCCCGCAUCCAAGGCACUGGGAUCUUUCCGUGCAUCCACCUCUCCCGGAUUCGCAAUCAUCUGAGUCCCAGAUCUUAGGUUUCCGCAUCCGAUUUUCCCGCAUCCACAGCCUCAUCCAGCCGUCCGCGUGCAUCAUCUUCUCCGGAGGAUUCAUCUCGGCCAAUGGUGGUCUCCACCGCAUGCGAGAAGGGGGGGAGAAGGCUAGCUUGAUAUACCUCUCGGCUGGGAAGGGUUUAGGGGAGUGCUCAUUCGAAAAAAUAGAGAGGGGAUACUCUGUUUGGGAGCUCUCAUUUGAAAACAAAAGAAAAAAAAUUGAGGAAAAAAAAAGAAAGGGAAACAGGGGAUGCCCUGUUUCCGAAAAGAAAAGAAAAAAAAGAAAGAAAAGGGGGACUAAUGUUUAAAAUGAGUGGCUGAUUUCUUAGGGAGGGUGAUGGAAGAACUUUUGAUGUAUUGCUCUUUGAAGUAAACUCUAAACUUUUGCUUUGAAUGACUUAUAUUUA